rnacentral:piRNA from 1 species
UAAUGGGCUUGCAGAAAUUCAAGAUG